rnacentral:tRNA from 1 species
CACAAAUUAGACCAUAGUCAAUUUAUGACAUAUGAGUUGCAUUCAUAAGGAGUUUCUUAAACUGGUUUA